rnacentral:lncRNA from 1 species
AUGAACGGGGCGAUUCUGAAAAGAGGCAGACGAAAAUCGAGCCCGCCCUGCCCGGGCUGGGCUGGGAACAGUUCGCAGGGCUCUGCCGAGUGGGCGAGCGAGGCGCGCGAGCAGGGCGCCCGUCCCCCCUCAGCCCCGGAAAAUGAUCAAGUCAAUCAUGUGGACAUGUUUCAUUAUUCAUUGAACACAAUCUUUUACAACGCUCCGUUUACGUGCCCGAGUUUGCUCCCGACGCCCGCGUUUCAGUGUUUAAGGGAACUGGGACGGCCCUCUGGCAAUCUGUCAGUGCCUGGAUCAGCUGCAUCCUUUCUGGGGUAUUUUCUCACCAGACUGACAGUCCUUAAGACAAGUAUGCAGUUAAGCUGCUAAGG